CCUACGGGGGGCAGCAGUGGGGAAUAUUGCACAAUGGGGGAAACCCUGAUGCAGCGACGCCGCGUGAGUGAAGAAGUAUUUCGGUAUGUAAAGCUCUAUCAGCAGGAACGAGACAAGACGGUACCUGACUAUGAAGCCCCGGCUAACUACGUGCCAGCAGCCGCGGUAAUACGUAGGGGGCAAGCGUUAUCCGGAAUCGCUGGGUGUAAAGGGAGCGUAGACGGCUGUGCAAGUCUGAAGUGAAAUGCCGGGGCUCAACCCCGGAACUGCUUUGGAAACUGUACAGCUAGAGUGCAGGAGGGGUG
rnacentral:rRNA from 1 species